CAGAAAGAGACAGAAACACGUGAGAGUGGCAAAGAAUACAAGGAAUUUAGUUUUCUUGUUCUUUCACGGUUUACCUACGGGUUUUGAGAAAAAUUGUUCAAUUUGUUCACGUGUUUCAUUGAUCAAAGAGUUAAUAGCAAGGAUCGGUCUCGGUGUGGAUACGCAUAGAGUCUUCGCACUAUCGAAGAAUUUUGAAACGAGACUUUCUUCAUUGAUCAAAAGUUGAUAGCAAGGAUCGGUCUCGGUAUGGAUAUGCAUAGAGUCUUCGCACUAUCGAAGAAAUUUAAAAAGAAACUCUCUUCACCAGGUACGUCUUUGAUCCGAUCUUUGACACGUAAAUAAAUUUUAAACAUGAGAAAAUCUACCUAGGAUUGUUAUUGUCUUCCGCUGCGUAUUACGAAUACCUAUACGCAAUCCUUCACGAUCUACUUAGGGCCACGAGAUUGUGAAGAUCGAAAUACCAUACCUUUUUCUUCCCUUCACCACACAACGCUCCACCUGAUCAAUUUUCUUCCUCAAUCAAAAGCUGAGAUUGAUGUUUGGUGCCGGUCCUGAAUUUUUCCAGACUCUCACAGUUGAAAGAUUUUUCCAUUAUUGGGUUCAAUGAGUUUAAGGAACUUGGAAGGGGAAGUUAUGGGGAAGUUCAAAACUUAGCUUCAACUCUAUAGUGAUAAAAUAUACAACUUUCGGUUAUUUUCACGGUCUGAAAAUAAAAUAAAAAUUAAAAAUGGAGCUUCAGAUUUUUAAAAACAGAGGAAGGUGAUUUUUUGUACUGUUGGGCGUUGGGAAGGGAGUUUUCAUGCUCCUCUGCGUCGUGCUCCUCACGCGGGCUACUGAUUAGGACCAACUAACGCUACAUGGGUAUGAUCAAUGAUCAAAUAUGUUUAUUAAUUAUGGAAAAAACGAGUUCGACUGUUCAAAUGAAAAAAUUAUAAAUAUGUAUCGAUUUUUAAAAAAUCCAACAUGUUUAAGUGGCCAGAAAGUUAUUUCGCCUUAAAAUCCGCCGCUUUUCCACUUACCCUGAAUUAUUGAAUCUCCAAAAAAAGGAAAAAGAACAUCUACAUAUGCUAUGUGUUAGUUAAUAAGGUUUCAUGUAGAAAAUGCAACAAUAGGGGUGGUGGCGCAGUUGGCUAGCGCGUAGGUCUCAUAGCUUCUAGAAAUCUUGAGGUCGAGAGUUCUUCUUUUAUUUUGCUUAAAAGUGCUUCACCUUUUCCUUUUUUAUCUUUUUCAAUUUCCUCUUAUACCUUUUUCUUUUUGUUCCGAUAAAUGGCUGCCUUCUUAGUUACCAUGAGGCUUUUGCCUUCGAUGAUGAGGUUGAGAUCAGAAAAUAAUGAGAUUUCAAUCCAACUCUUGCCCAUAUGUGGGAUUCUCAGUGUUGCGCACUCGUUACUAAUGUCAAGUAGUUUAGUGUUGACAAUUCUCCCUAUAUAGGUUGCACUGGAGUGGAAAAUUGGCAAUACAAAAACAAGCAGCAAUAUUGAAUUACAGCCACAUGGGGCUCUUGAGGAGAAGUUACAAGGUAACACGCAGAAAUUGGAUAGAAUUACAAUUCAACCUCAAAUCAGUUUUGAUGGAGAAGCAAAUGGUUAAAUCUAGAAUAAAUAUUGGAACGUAAUUAUUUGUCCCUCUUGUUCUUUCUCAGCAUUUCGCUGGGUGUUGAUAUAGUAUGUUAUACAUAAUCAACCCUCAAAAUUGCCUAUGACUACAAGUCUACAACUAUGCUACAUAGAAUCAUUGAGGAAUCAAAGCUAAUAUCUUCCGUGCAUGUAUGUAGAGCAAACAGCAGAAGUAUCUGAAAUCCAAAGCACAAUAAUGUUUUGGAAGUAUCAAAAAGGGAAAACAACCCAGCAGUUGCUUCAGCUAGGAGCUAUCUCACACUGUUGGGAGUUUUAGCCUUGUUUAGAUUGGCAAGUUCUUCUAUGAGCUUUCUCUCUUCACUGCUCAACCGUUUUGGAAUCUCUACUUGCACUCUCACCAAUUGAUCACCCCUCAUAUUCGGUUUGCUGAGGUAUGGCACCCCUUUUUUGGCCAUCACAAGUGUUGUCCCUGGCUGGGUACCUGAUGGAAUCUUUAGAUCAACCAUUCCAUCUACUGUAGGAACCUUCAUAGUUGUACCCAAGAUCGCAUCAAUAUAAGAAACUUUGCAAUUAUAGAGGAUAUUGGUGUCGUCCCGUUUUAGUACAGGAUCUGGGAGAACUUCAAUCAUGACAAAAAGAUCUCCAGGGGGUCCACCUCUCCUUCCUACAUUACCUUCUGAACGAACUCUUAAACGGCUACCUGAAUCUACACCAGGUGGAACUUUCAAACUAAUGCGCUUUGACUUCCUCACUCUGCCAUCACCAUUGCAGGUGCUGCAAGGAGUAGAGAUCUCUCCAGUCCCUCCACAAGCAGAGCAUGUUGUCACCUGCUGGAAGACACCCAGUGGGGUUCUUGCUGACGAAACAACCUGCCCUUGUCCACCACAAGUAUUACAUGUCGAUGGUUUAGUCCCAGGUUUUGCACCUGAUCCAUCACAGGUGCCACAGGUUUCAAGCCUGCUUAUUUCUAUCUCCUUCUCAACACCAAAUACAGCGUCUUUGAAAUUCAACACCAGAUUAUAGCCCUGGUCUUCACCUUCGGUGGCUCGGUUCCGUGAACCUCUGCCUCCCAUACCCAUGCCACCCAUACCACCAAAGCCGUCGAACAAAGACUCGAACAAAUCAAAGGCAUUGCUAAAAUCCUAUGAAUAAAGAACAAUACGUCAAGAUUACAUGGGCAAUAUAACCAUCUGCUACUAUUGCUAAUUUUCUCAUAAAACAAGAAAUUCUCACCCCCAUGCCACCCAUGCCAGCUCCUUUAAGGCCAGCCUCCCCGUAUUUGUCAUAUAUGGAACGUUUCUCAUCAUCGGACAAAACCUAUAGCAAAAUAGUAUAUGCCAUAAGAAGUGAUUGCAAUAUUCUUCCAUCAUGGUCGUCACUAUUCAGUCACCUUUUAAAAGCACACAAGGCAUCAAGAGAAAUAAAACUACCUCAUAAGCAUUGCUGAUCUCCUUAAAUUUCUGUUCAGCUCCAGCUUCUCUACAACACGAUAAACAUGAAUGCACAUAAGGAUCUUACAUACUGUAAAAAUAAAAUACCACAUUAAAAAUAACGGCGCACCUUCAUAUGAAUAUACACUUACACAUGUCAAUAGGAAACUAAAGCUUGUAACUUACAACAAAUAACACUUAAUAAUAAUCUUGAACGUCUCACUUUUAUUCUUUUUCAGAAGAUAGAUUUCACUAGUUGGUGUGACCUUUCCAGUAAAAUGCUCCAUAGCAAUUUCAUUUCUUUGAUCAGUUACAGAGAUCAAUGACCAAAUACUUCAAUUGUUAUUGCAGCCCCGCCUUUCUUUUUACUAAUCGAAAAAAUAACCCUUAGAUUUCAUGGUUGGAAUCAUAUGAAUAUGUUCUGCUAAUUUCCGUAUAUUUCAAACAUAUUGCAGAAGCAACAACAACCACGCCCAAGUCCUAAACAAGUUGGGGUCAGCCAUAUGAAUCUUCAUGCCUUUCAUUAAGCUCGGCUCAUAACAUCAUCAUCGCCAAACUAAAAUAAAGUGCAUGUACGAAAAGAUAAUAUAUAUAAAAAUAAUAAUAAUGAUAAUAAUAACAACAAUAAGAAUAGAAGGUCUCUACCAUGUCUAAAACCUAUUCCCAACUAAUAAGUAUCACCUAUAUAGAUUUUCCUCUUCAAUUGUGCUAAGUCUGUAUUGAUUCCACGGAUUUGUAGGUCGGCCUACAAAUCAUUGGAAUCACUGCAGACUUAGCUAGGCCAAAAGACCUACAAAUCCUUGGAAUCAAUGCAAACUUAGCUAAAGAUAGUACAUAAUGGAAGAGGAAAAUUCAUACAGGUAAACUGUAAAAAACAUGCUAGUAAAAAACAAUUAGUGGCUUUUCAUGUAUAGAGACAAACAAUUAGUGUAAGGACACAAUAUUGUGGUUUUUCAAAUAACGAUGAGACAUAUACCAUGGCAAUACCUCGCAGCAGCAACUUGCAGCAUUUUCAGAAUGUACCCUCUCAAAGAUAAAAACACAACCUGGAUCUUCUCUCUAGACAAGAUCUGCUAAUUUACGGUAGAUUUCACAUGUCCACUCCAAAAUAACCAACCUAAGAAAAUCUCAAUGAAUCCAUCUUCCCCCAUAACUAUACCUUAAUUUCUGAACCAUCACUUUCUACUAUUAUUUUCCGCACAAAAGAAGGGGAAAAACAAAGUUGUAAAGAGGUCAAUCAUCUGAUCUUGAGCGGGUAAACGUGAUCCUUCGACAAGAUACAGAAGUAAAUUUUAAAGCUAGAGAAAAAGCUAAGUAUGUACUACUCCAUUUCAUUUUUCAACAACAAGACCACAGUAGAAGGCAUCACAUCUCAUAUUUACAGGAACUAUAAGCAAAAUCCAUGAAAGAAUUCAACCAACUGAUCUUGAAUAGGUAAACAUGACUCUUCAACAAGAUACAAAAGUAAAGUGAAAGCUAGAGAAAAGGCCAAAUAUGUACUACUUUAUACCAUCUUUCAACAAACCACAGUAAAAGCAUUCACAACAGAAUUCCAGGAACUAUACUUACUUGUUCACAUCAGGAUGAUAACUCCUUGCAAGCUUUCGAUAUGCUAAAACAACGAAAAAAGGGAGAAUUAGGAACAUAACAUGACAUCCAACAAUGUACGUUUUUCAACUACUUGGUUCUAAGAGCAACCUAUAUAUAGUUCUAAACUACAGUCACAAUUCAAAGAUACAAGUGACUAGCAGAAAAUAGUUUGAGUAUGUAAAUGAAGGUGGUACUCACCAUUUUUUAUUUCUGACUUGCUAGCAUUUUUAGAUACACCAAGGACAUCAUAGUAAUCCUGUGAAAUAUGUAACAACAUUCAACCAGCUUUACUAUGCAUAUUUAUUUACCAAGUCGCACACACACAUAAAUGUAACUCGUAUUCUGAUCACAGAAUCACAAUCUACGAAUGGGUUUUGCAUCCUGCAUAGCAUCUUACUUUUUCAGCUCUAACAACUAAUCGGGUCCCCCUCCGUUGAUAUUGAUUCUUGCUUGACACUGAACUGAAAAGUGCUUGCAGGGAAUCUUGACAAAAAAGGGUUGAACUUGGGGAUGCCAAUGCCCUUAUCUUGCUUGAGAAACUGCAUAGACGAUAACAAGGUCAAGUGUGGACAGUUACCAGGUAGAUACGGGAGUCAUCUCUUGAGGUAGAAAACAUGCCAAUUAUCCAUAAGCUUAUUAAGUAGAAAAGGUACAAUUUACAAAAAGAAUUUGAACUUGCGCCUAACAAUAGGGAAGAAUCAAUGUUCAAUCCUCUGUUAUGUCAUAAAGGCCAAAAUAGCAAGUAUGCGCUUAUGUGCAUAAAAAGACAAGUCAAGUUCUAACAAGCAUGGCUGAUCAAAUUACAGAGGGGCUCCUCCAAAAGAGAACACGUGAACGACAUACUUCUCCUUACUUUUUGGAUCAACCAUGGGAUUGGG
rnacentral:lncRNA from 1 species